rnacentral:rRNA from 1 species
ACCUGGUUUACACCGGUUUAAACUCAGAUCAUGUAAAAUUUCAAAGGUCGAACAGACCUAAUUUAUUAGCUUCUUCACCAAUAAUUUAUUUUAAUCCAACAUCGAGGUCGCAAUCUUUUUUUUCGAUAAGAACUCUAAAAAAAAUCACGCUGUUAUCCCUAAGGUAAUUUAAUCUUUUAAUCUUAAUUCAAGGAUCAAAUACUCAUAAAUAAAUGGCUUAUUGGAAAAAAGUUCUUUUAAUUUUUUUAUCACCCCAAUAAAAUAUUUCUUCAUUAAAAUAAUUAUAAAUCCAACAUUCUAAUUAAUUAGAAAUAUAAAACUCUAUAGGGUCUUCUCGUCUUCUAUAUAUAUUUAAGCUUUUUAACUUAAAAAUAAAGUUCUAAUUAAUUUUUUAUAGAGACAGAAAUUUUCCCAUCAAACCAUUCAUUCCAGCUUUUAAUUAAAAAACUAAUGACUAUGCUACCUUUGCACGGUCAAUAUACCGCGGCCAUUUAACUACUCAUUGGGCAGGUUAGACUUAAAAUUAUUUUCAAUAAGCC